UUGCUGCUCUUGGAAAGGUGCAUCAGGGACGGGUAACAGAGCUAGAGGAGCGGCUAACUGGCUUGAAAACGGAGCUGGAAUCUCUGCACCAUCAGAAAAGAGAUUUGGAAGAUCAGCUUGAUGGUAAGACAGCUGAAUCUAAACAGCAAGAAAAGACAAAUAAGGCACUGUAUUCGGAAUUCGAAUUGAUACCAAAGGAGGAAGGAGAUGCAGUAACUAAACUCAUGAAGCAAAUCAAGGACAAUGAGAACAAUUUAAUGUCUAAAAUUGAGGAUUCAAUGGCACAGGUGAGCAAUCUGAAAAAGGAGGUGGACUAUUUACGUGCCCAAAAAUAUGCGGCCGAAGGAAGUAUAGCAGGCAAAAGUAGUGAAUCAUUUGAUCAGGAAAAUGUAAUGAGGCAGGAAUUGGAUUCCCUACGCAGCCAGAAAACCGAAUCAGAAAUUCUGCUAGAGACGAAAUCCAAAGAAAUCUCCCAGUAUCUGAUUCAAGUGAAAUCCUUGAAAGAGGAAUUAGCAAGAAAGAGAGCUGUUGAGCAGAUAACGAUAGAGCAAAAAGAAGGCUUACAGGUGCAGUUGAUGGACUUGGAAUCAGAGGUGGACACUCUCCGAAGGCAGAAAAAUAUAUCAGAAGAUGAAGUGUGGAGUAAUACCCGUGAAAUCAAUCAAUUGAGAGAGGAAAAGGGUAACCUGCAGGCUAAAAUUCUAGAAUUGGAAACACUGUUUCGAGAGAGAGGCCUUGAGCUUUCUGCUGUUCUGGAGGAUAGCAAAAGUAUAAAGAUUAAAGUAAAUGCUCAGAUAAGGACCUUGAAUGCGGAGGUUGAACUUCUGCAACAGAAGUUGGAUACCCUGAAGAUGGAGAAAAGCCAGUUGGAGUUGCAGAUUGCUGAUCAGCAGAGAAUCACGAAAGAAAGAGAGGAAGCCAUAAACAAAUCUACGGAGGAGUCUAACUCUAAGGUGGUCAGAAGAUGGUCGUCAGGAUCCACGUUAAAUUCCCAAGUCCUAGAAAGAAAGAUGGAGGAGUUAGCAGAAGAGUUCCGCAAGAAAGUUGAAGAUAACAUCCGUCUUUUGUACCAGAGGAUCAAGGUUGCUGAAAAAAUACAUUUUGAGAACAAAGAGACUCACAAGAAAAUAAAAGAAAGGCUAGAGCAAGAGA
rnacentral:lncRNA from 1 species